rnacentral:rRNA from 1 species
UACAGAGGGUGCAAGCGUUAAUCGGAAUUACUGGGCGUAAAGCGCGCGUAGGCCGUCGAGUAAGUCGGAUGUGAAAUCCCCGGGCUUAACCUGGGAAUUGCAUUCGAUACUGCUUGACUAGAGUGUGGAAGAGGGAAGCGGAAUUUCCGGUGUAGCGGUGAAAUGCGUAGAUAUCGGAAGGAACACCAGUGGCGAAGGCGGCUUCCUGGUCCAACACUGACGCUGAGGCGAGAAAGCGUGGGGAGCGAACAGG